rnacentral:rRNA from 1 species
UAGGGAAUCUUCGGCAAUGGACGAAAGUCUGACCGAGCAACGCCGCGUGAGUGAAGAAGGUUUUCGGAUCGUAAAACUCUGUUGUUAGAGAAGAACAAGGACGUUAGUAACUGAACGUCCCCUGACGGUAUCUAACCAGAAAGCCACGGCUAACUACGUGCCAGCAGCCGCGGUAAAACGUAGGUGGCAAGCGUUGUCCGGAUUUAUUGGGCGUAAAGCGAGCGCAGGCGGUUUCUUAAGUCUGAUGUGAAAGCCCCCGGAUCAACCGGGGAGGGUCAUUGGAAACUGGGAGACUUGAGUGCAGAAGAGGGGAGUGGAAUUCCAUGUGUAGCGGUGAAAUGCGUAGAUAUAUGGAGGAACACCAGUGGCGAAGGCGGCUCUCUGGUCUGUAACUGACGCUGAGGCUCGAAAGCGUGGGGAGCAAACAGG